GGGCGUGGCGGUGAUGAUAGAUGUUAAUCCCAGCUCAUUUUGAGGCCUUCUCUGUGUGAGGUCAGGGAAAUUAACCUAUUUUCUCACAUACGUCGUCUGAGCUUCUC